rnacentral:rRNA from 1 species
GAUGAACGCUAGCUACAGGCUUAACACAUGCAAGUCGAGGGGUAACGAGAGGAAAGCUUGCUUUCCUUGUCGACGACCGGCGCACGGGUGAGUAACGCGUAUCCAACCUGCCCCCAACUAGGGAAUAACCUUGCGAAAGUAAGACUAAUACCCUAUAAUUUCCUCAGAUGUCAUCUGACGAGGAAUAAAGAUUUAUCGGUUGUGGAUGAGGAUGCGUCUGAUUAGCUUGUUGGCGGGGUAACGGCCCACCAAGGCAACGAUCAGUAGGGGUUCUGAGAGGAAGGUCCCCCACAUUGGAACUGAGACACGGUCCAAACUCCUACGGGAGGCAGCAGUGAGGAAUAUUGGUCAAUGGGCGGAAGCUUGAACCAGCCAAGUAGCGUGCAGGAUGACGGCCCUAUGGGUUGUAAACUGCUUUUAUACAGGAAUAAAGUUAGCCACGUGUGGUUAUUUGUAGGUACUGUAUGAAUAAGGACCGGCUAAUUCCGUGCCAGCCGCCGCAGUAA